rnacentral:rRNA from 1 species
AUUGAACGCUGGCGGCAGGCUUAACACAUGCAAGUCGAGCGGAGAGAGGUAGCUUGCUACCGAUCUUAGCGGCGGACGGGUGAGUAAUGCUUAGGAAUCUGCCUAUUAGUGGGGGACAACAUUUCGAAAGGAAUGCUAAUACCGCAUACGUCCUACGGGAGAAAGCAGGGGAUCUUCGGACCUUGCGCUAAUAGAUGAGCCUAAGUCGGAUUAGCUAGUUGGUGGGGUAAAGGCCUACCAAGGCGACGAUCUGUAGCGGGUCUGAGAGGAUGAUCCGCCACACUGGGACUGAGACACGGCCCAGACUCCUCCGGGAGGCAGCAGUGGGGAAUAUUGGACAAUGGGCGCAAGCCUGAUCCAGCCAUGCCGCGUGUGUGAAGAAGGCCUUAUGGUUGUAAAGCACUUUAAGCGAGGAGGAGGCUACUUUAGUUAAUACCUAGAGAUAGUGGUCGUUACUCGCAGAAUAAGCACCGGCUAACUCUGUGCCAGCAGCCGCGGUAACAC